CAAGGCUGCACGGAUUCCUGGAAGAGCUCAGGGGAGCUGCUCUUAUGUGGCGUGGUCUCUGAGCAGAACAAACGUGUGAUCUGACCCGGAGUACCAGGAAGCCUGGGGUCAAGAGUCGGCAGGACCUGGGCCCCGGAGGGGGGCGGGGGGGAUGGGCAGACCUUCAGAAGUGCAGCCUCCGAGGGCCAGUUGUCCCUGACCCACUGGGAUGGGGUUUGAGCUGUUUGACGGAGAUUUUGUUUACAGAGUCAGGCCAAGGCCAAAGAAUACUUGAUAUUUCCUUGCUAGACUCUGGAGAGCUGGAGAGCCGAUUUAGUCUCACUGUGCACACAGAAGACCAGCGUCCCCGGGGCCAGAGAGGCACUGAGGGUGGUGCCUCGGCCCUUGUCUCUCCAGGACUGGGGCUUGGAGGCUAGCACCAGCCAAUUCAUCUAAAAUCAACCAUCGUGAAUCUGGGGAACUCUGGUGCAAGCUCUCACCAAGGCAUGGGGUGAACUGGGCUGUUCCAGGACCAGUCACUUGGAGCCGGUCAGAGUCCUGCUACGAAGGUGGUCGAACCGUGACUGCUCUCCUGUUUUCCGCUGCCCCUCUGCUGGGACAGGCAGAGAGGCAAGGGUCUCCUCCCCAGCAGGAUCCCUGCUCCUGGUUCUGCGUGCCCAGAGGGCUUCCUGCCUCCCAGUGUGCUCCUUGCCUCCGAGCCAGAGUCCCGAUGGCCACACCUGCUCCUGUCACAGUCAGCAACGACCCCAGAUGUCUCCACCUGAUACCACGGCCGGGGCCAAGCAGCCAAAGCUGUUUUGGGCUUUGAAGGAAGGAUGUAUUCAGGCUAGCAGGCGGGGGCUCUCGUAAAUACGGCGUGGGUGAGCAGGGAGAGGACGGGCGUCUACAACGAGGAGGCACAGGUGGGCGGGACGCGGGGCGGGCGAGGGAAGCGCGGCAGGACCUGGCCCAGGGGAGGCCAAGGCGACUGACAGAGGGCUGAGGUCCCUGAGAAGCCGUGAAGGGAGCCGCGAGGCGCAAGUCGUGGGUGGGGAGAGCCCCUCGGCACCUCGCUGGGACUAGGGCCCAAGUUAAAGGCUGCACGGCUGCUGCCUGUGCCCCCCUCAUCUCCUGCGGUCGCCUUGAAGCUGGGUUUCCCUGAUAGCCCGAGAAGGGAAGUCCGCCGCCGCCGGCUCCGCACGUCCCAGGAAGACCGCGCAGACAGCACCUGCGCACAGGCCGGAGACCGCACCGUCCGUGUGAACCGAGACGGCAUUUUACUGUGGGAGGGUGUGAAGUGCCACCGGGCCGCCGUGGGCCGCGCCCGUGCGAGGACCUUCACCAUGAAGGUUCGAAAUUAGGGUCCUUAUGUGUUGAUCCUAAUAUAAAAGUCACAUAUGGGGCCUCUAUCUAUCCACUGUGCCCUGCUUACUCGCGAACACCGACUGUACGCAGGGCCGCGCGGAGGGACCUGACGAUGCAUCACGUCCCGUCCUUGAGCUCAGGCUGCUCACGGCUGAGGAGGUAAGACACAGACCGCAGAAAGUGUAGGGAGAAGGGUCCAGAGAACAGGGUGGGACUUGGGGAAGCGUGUUUCCUCACCGUCCAGAUCAGGGGAGGUUCGCAGACGCAGUGGACGUUUGCCCUCCUGGAAACACGCUUGUCGGGGGAGGCCUUUCUCUGUGGCAUCCAGUUAGAGAGCCAGAUACUGGAGGCAGAUGCCAAGGACCGGUCUUCAAAUAUUCCACUUGGAAGGGAGGAGUCAAGUAAAGCCCCCACCCUCUUACAAUCCUCCCAUUCCCAUGACGAAGCCUGUAUCCACCAAGUCCCAGAGGAGACCAGGGCCAUUGGUUCACUACCUCCUUGUAGAUAUUUUGAAGGAACAAAAUCAUGAUGAUUUGCUAUAAAUGGCAAGUGGCAAACCCUUUUCAUGUGGAGACCCAGAAAGAAGUUCUCCCCUUGUCCCUACUCCCCAAACUGUGUAGGGCUAGUUUGGGUUCCUGGACUUGGAGUUCUGAGCAGGUCGGUUUAUGUUCCAAAUGCAUUGGCAAGUCCACUCCAAUGGUCCAGAUGUGUCAUGGGAUGCUGUUGUCUCUUGUGAAAAGUCGAUGCAAGAGCAUGGUGUGGCCCAUCUCCAUGGUGAGCACUGCUACUUACUGCAUCCUGGAGAGCCCACCGUGCUCAGAAGACCACACACGUGGUCUGAAACCAAUGUGAGAGUUGGCAGUCAGCUCUUGGACUCCUGGUUCAGAGCAUCCCCAAGUUCUUCUUGUCUUUCCAGAAACUUGGGUUGCUGCUGCCAUUUCCUCAAGGACAGGAGAACGGCUCAUAGAGCUCUGGGGGCGGAUGGGGUUGUUAGUUAGUGGUCCCAAACUUCUUGGAGUCAGAGCAUCAGUAGGAUAGUAAGAGGAACAAAGCGGAAGUGUCGACAUGGCAAGAGAAGUCUUCUAGCCUGGGAGAAGAACAUUAGGUCCCACUGAUCCUAGUGGCUGUGACUAAGAAGAUGUUUAACAAGACUCUUCAGCCUUUACUGAGGCAUCAUCUGAUCGCAUUUCAACACCAGUGGAUUGGUAUUUCUGGGAGCAGAGAAUUACUGGUGUAAUUUGUUUUAUGCAAAAGAGAGCUCAGAGAGGGGUGUUAGAAAUGCAACAUUUUCUAGAAAAUCCUCAAUUCUGCCAACACUCACU